AUUUGAAAAUGUGAUUAGUUACAAUCCCAGAGGUUCAGGAGCUCUCCAAGCAAACUCCACAGCUGAAGACUUCGAUUUCAUGGCGGCAAAGCAAUCAGGUAUGAGGACUCGACUCCUUUCUUUUGUUCUCUUCUUCUUCUUCGGAUGAUAAAACCCAGUUAGGUUUAGGGUUUCUGGAUUCUUCUGAAAACUCCCUCCCUCCCCCACCUCCUUCCCUUGAAGUUCUUCCCUCAGAGGUUUCAUCAUCUGAGACAUAUACAAUGGAGCCUGUACAUUUGAGUGGACGCACUUUGCUCAAGGGAAGGGUGAGUACUCAGGAGAUUUUCCAUUUAUCCAAUUCUGACUUGGUCCCUGGUAAAUAUGAGGGAUUUAUGUUGAGGAUUUGCAUAAUGUAGGGGGACUAAAACUGUGAGAAGGUUCACUAGAUUUAGUUAAAACUCUGCAAUCAGAGGUGCAAGAUGGUCAAUUAUUACUUACUGGAAAGCAGGUUUUAGAGCAACUGGCCUACAUUUCCACAAAUAUUUAUCAAGGGGGAGUUCAUCGGAGGAUCAGACGUCAUUCUUAACAUGCACCAGACUGGCGAGCUGAAGGAAAUGCUUAAAGAUAUUGCUGCCAACCAGGAGAGAUCAGAGUAAUUUAUGAUUGUCGACCAUGUAUAGUGAGAGUUUGGAGUUGUUUUUUGAUGUUCUAAUUUCUUUUGAGGUAAUAUAAGCAUGUUAAAUUUAUGUCCAGUUGACAGACCCUAUUUUAGCGGGAAGCUUGUGCACUGAGUAAUUCGUUUUAAGUAUGUUAAACUACGAAUAUUUGUUGAUUUAAUCCAAUAAUGGUUCGUGCAGUAUGGAUUGAAAAAUUGUAUAUGUAUAAGCAUUACUCCAUGAAAAUUUACACUCAAAUUAUAUAUAUUACUGCAGCCCACCUUUAACGAAACAACUCAAGCUGGUUCAAUAUUUAGCACAAUACAGAGUACGCCAAAGGAAAUUAUCUCUCUCUCUCUCUCUCCAAAUCUAGUAAUACAUGAACACACUGCUGCUUCUUCAAUUCAGAGGACUGCUAAAAUUCUCAACUGGAAGAAUCUAUCUAUCCACUAGUUGUCACAAUUUCAGGGGCACUGACAUGCUCAACGAUGGCCACAUCAUGAUAAUGUCCCUUGCUGUGACCUCCACGUCCGCCAUUGCAAUGGUGCCUUUUGCCAGGAUUGCCACCACCGUGACCAUGAUGUCUCCCACCAUGACUGUGACAUCCUCCAUGGUGACAACCACCACAGCCACCAUGUCCGUGAUGUUCACUGUGAACAUGAUGAAUAUGAUGUCCCCAGCCGUGACCAUGAUGUCCUCCGCUAUGACAAGCUGCAAAGCUGUCGUGUUCAUUAUGUCCACUGGGGCUGUGUGGUGUCCUAAGUUGUGAACACCGUGACCAAUGGAUGAUGAUGCUCGCCACACCCAGACAUCAUUGUUGUUCAAGUGUUUGUCUAAAUCUCUGAAGGUUGCCUGGUGAAUGAAUAUUCUAUGAGGAGU